rnacentral:rRNA from 1 species
GACGAACGCUGGCGGCGUGCUUAACACAUGCAAGUCGAACGAUGAAGCUAGAGCUUGCUCUGGUGAAUUAGUGGCGAACGGGUGAGUAACACGUGAGUAACCUGCCCCGAACUCUGGGAUAACUGCUGGAAACGGUAGCUAAUACUGGAUACGACCUACGAAGGCAUCUUCUGUAGGUGGAAAGAAUUUCGGUUCGGGAUGGACUCGCGGCCUAUCAGCUUGUUGGUGAGGUAAUGGCUCACCGAGGCGACGACGGGUAGCCGGCCUGAGAGGGUGACCGGCCACACUGGGACUGAGACACGGCCCAGACUCCUACGGGAGGCAGCAGUGGGGAAUAUUGCACGAUGGGCGCAAGCCUGAUGCAGCAACGCCGCGUGAGGGAUGACGGCCUUCGGGUUGUAAACCUCUUUUAGUAGGGAAGAAGCGAAAGUGACGGUACCUGCAGAAAAAGCACCGGCUAACUACGUGCCAGCCGCCGCGGUAA